UACGUAGGGUGCAAGCGUUUAAUCGGAAUUACUGGGCGUAAAGCGUGCGCAGGCGGUUUUGUAAGUUUGUCGUGAAAUCCCCGGGCUCAACCUGGGAAUUGCGAUGAAGACUGCAAGGCUAGAAUCUGGCAGAGGGGGGUAGAAUUCCACGUGUAGCAGUGAAAUGCGUAGAGAUGUGGAGGAACACCGAUGGCGAAGGCAGCCCCCUGGGUCAAGAUUGACGCUCAUGCACGAAAGGCGUGGGGAGCAAACGAGG
rnacentral:rRNA from 1 species